rnacentral:tRNA from 1 species
GGGUACAGCUCAGUGGCAGAGCACGUGCUUAGCAUGCACGAGGUCCUAGGUUCAAUCCCCAGUACCUCCA